CUUCCCUUCUAACGACCUAAGAAGCAGCAUUUGGUUUGCCAUCUUAAUAAUUAGUAUUGCUAGAUAAUGGAACUAAUAAAGGAAUUUGAAUAUAUCGCAAUAGAAAAGAUAAAUCAGCUUUAUUAAACUUUUAAAAACGAAUGUUAGGCUAUUUUCUGGCAAUUGUGCUGUCAUGAUAAGACUACAAACCGUUAUAAAUGGCCUAUUUGCGAGAUUGACAUGUCGUUUCAUUUCAUUGUAGCGUCAAACCCAAAGAAGACUCCAGGCUGUAAUCGCUUCCAAAGAUGCUUCAACAAAGUACCGAGUAAAGGGUCUGAAUACUUAUGUAAAUGUAAUAUUUCAAUUUGUUAUUUUUAAUACAUUUGCAAAAAUGUCUAAAUAAAAACGUUUUUACUUUGUCGUGAUUAGGUAUUGUGUAUUGAGGAAAAAAAUAUUUAAUACAGUUUAGAAUAAGGCUGUAACAUAACAAUUUGGAAAAAGUUGAGGAGUCUAAAUACUUUCCGAAUGCACUGUAUGUGAAAACAUGUAUAAUGCUUCACUUGUUAUGAGCAUAUACCUUAUGAAAUGUGUGUAGAGACCUCUCACCUGGUACGUUAGAUUGUAAACAUACAAGAACUGUCAUUCAAGAGGCAUGUUAAAUGUAUUUUUUAAACUAGAUUUGUUUUGCUUAAUGGCCCUGAAUUUGCCAGUCAGCUCAAGAGAUGGUGGACAGGACCAGGGACUGCCCCAUUGGCUGCUGCAGCAGAGUGGGAGAGUACUUCCUCUGCGGUACAACUCCACCAAGGAUCACUACUGCAGGGUGUCCAGUGACAAUGAGGACAUCCAGGGAUAGAGGAAAGAGUGUGUUCAGGAAUCUGAAGAAUGACUGACAGAUGGUGUAUCUAGCUCAUACAGAGGACUCAUCGUCAGGGAACAUCAGGUGGACGUUGGACUGUGCUCCUGUAGGGAUGAAGAUAAAGACAGUCUCAGUCAGAACAUGCAGCCAGACCUUUCACUCUGGAACCGGCCUCUAGGGUCUGCAGUCUGGACAGAACACAACGUCGUUCUCAGGAGACAGGGAGAUGCAUUCUAUUCCGGGUCUUUUCUUGAUCCUUGGAGCUGGUCAUGGAGAUGGAGCUAGCCGGAGGAGAGGGAGAGUCGUCAUGGCAACACUCCCAGAUGUUCCGGCGGGCUUUGAAUGAGCCGAAGGAAUCCUCAUUUCAAAUCCUCGUCAAGAUGGAGGACGAUACUUAAUGAGUGUGUUCGAUUAGCUCUGAGCAAGGCACUACAUUGGUUUGCUAAUCUUAAUAAAGCAAUGAGUAGUUAUUUUGGGAUGCAACAUGAUGUAUAGAUCAGUGAUUCUGCUCAGUGGCUUGCUCAAGAUAAUCACCUUGAAUACACCGACGCUGUUCAUAGUCAUGUAUAGUGUGUAUAUUUAUAGGCAUCUUGGUGCUUAUGAGAUAAACGGAGGAGUAGUAGUUUGGUGAUAUUGUUUGUGGGGAAGGAUGGUAAAGUAAUCCAAUAAUC